rnacentral:antisense_RNA from 1 species
GUCUACACAGAGAAACUGAAAUCUGGUUAGUCAAGAAGGAAAAAACAGCCAAGUGCCUAGAAUUAAGAGGAUUUUUUUUUUAAGCUCAGCCUACGGACAACAAAAGCAUGGACUGUAUUUCCCAGCAUCUUUCGCAGGAUGAGGAAACUGGAGCCCACGUAGCCAUUUUGGACCUGAAGGUGGAAGUCAAGCUAGGGACAGCAAACAACACUUGUGUGGAUCCCUGAAGAUCAGGUCAUCCUAACCCUGAACUGCUUUCCUCUGGUCUCUCUAACAGGAGAUACCAGAGGAAAACCAUGAGAGAGAUGUAAUUUUCUAUCUCACUUAAGCCACUAUUGUACUUUGGACUUUCUUGUCAUGUACAGCCAAGCCUAAUUAUAACCAAUAAAACAUGCAAUUGAAAGACAAAAA